rnacentral:rRNA from 1 species
UAAGGAGACUGCCGGUGAACAAACCGGAGGAAGGUGGGAUGACGUCAAGUCAUCAUGGCCCUUACGGCCUGGGCUACACACGUGCUACAAUGGUCGGUACAAAGGGUUGCCAAGCCGCGAGGUGGAGCUAAUCCCAUAAAACCGAUCGUAGUCCGGAUCGCAGUCUGCAACUCGACUGCGUGAAGUCGGAAUCGCUAGUAAUCGUGAAUCAGAAUGUCACGGUGAAUACGUUCCCGGGCCUU